AGGUGUAGUUCAGUAUCGUCUCGUUCAAAAGAUGGGAUGGCUGGUUUGACGAACCGCUACAUCUAUUAUCCACAAAUCAAACUUUUACUUUCAAAUGGUGAAAACUAAUAAAUUAAAAGAAAAAGUGUUCGUCAGUCGUGGUAGAUAGGUCACUACUUAGUCAUGAGUUGUUCAUGGCCGUAAAGGGUCUCAAACCCAAUACGAUUGUUUUGAAAGUUCUCUAAUCCCGCAAGGAUGAGUUUGGGUGGCAACCUAGAAGAGUGAUGAGUAAGAAUAGAGUAUAUUACGACUUUAGGAUUGGUUAAUCUAAUUAACCGUGACUGAGAGGUACUUCUCAAAAGGAAGUGGAAAUCGGAGGAAAUCAAAAUAAUCUCCUGUAAAGUCUCUCACAAGAUGGUUUAUUCUCAACCU
rnacentral:ncRNA from 1 species